rnacentral:lncRNA from 1 species
CCAACAAGCGUCUCUUGCUUUCUUGCUUCCUUCUGUCUCUUUGCCCCCUCAGAUCCUGCCUGUGACCCACACGGAGAUCUCCCCAGAACAGCAGUUCGACAGAAGUGUACAGAGGCUUCUGGCAACACGGAUUGCCGUCUACCUGAUGACCUUUCUCAUCGUGACAGUGGCCUGGGCAGCACACACAAGGUUGUUCCAAGUUGUUGGGAAAACAGACGACACACUUGCCCUGCUCAACCUGGCCGCAUCAUGGCUGUGAUGCCCUCCCUCCUUCCAGGCCUGCAUGAUGACCAUCACCUUCCUGCCUUACACGUUUUCGUUAAUGGUGACCUUCCCUGAUGUGCCUCUGGGCAUCUUCUUGUUCUGUGUGUGUGUGAUCGCCAUCGGGGUCGUGCAGGUCACACAGGUAGGGUUCCUGAGGCCACCUACACACAUAGGAUGUGGCAUGCCCAGAGUCCCCGCUUUCUGACCAGAGACUGGGAAGAGUGGGCCCUGAGACCCCCCACAUGCGGCCCCAGGAGCCAGCAGGGGCUCCUGUUCUCUCUCCACCUCAGCCCGUGCCCAAAGCGUCCCAGGUACAAGCCCACCUCUACCCGCCAGGUCCUCCCCACCUCGAGACCCCUGCGUGCGCGUGCCAUGCGGCCCGGGGCCAGGUCCUCCCCCACCUCGAGACCCUUGCGUGCAUGUGCCAUGCGGCCCGGGGCCAGGUCCUCCCCACCUCGAGACCCCGGCGUGCGCGUGCCAUGCAGCCCGGGGGUUGACUGCUGUGGGGGCCCCCUCUGCUCUUGGGGCCGGUGUCCUGCAGCUUGCUUUUCCCACAGGCACUG